rnacentral:tRNA from 1 species
AGGCCCCAUUCCCCAGGGGAAAAAUUCGGACUCAUAAUCCGUUGGUGCCGGGUUCGACUCCCGGGGGGCCUACCA